UACGUAGGUGGCAAGCGUUGUCCGGAUUUACUGGGCGUAAAGAGCGCGCAGGCGGUCGUUCAAGUCGCGUGUGAAAGCCCCCGGCUCAACUGGGGAGGGUCACGCGAUACUGAUCGACUCGAAGGCAGGAGAGGGUAGUGGAAUUCCCGGUGUAGUGGUGAAAUGCGUAGAUAUCGAGAGGAACACCUGCGGCGAAGGCGGGUUGCUGGGCCGACACGUGACGCUGACAGCGCGAAAGCUAGGGGAGCGAACGGG
rnacentral:rRNA from 1 species